CUGAGGCACCAUCUCAGGGGGGCCCAGGCAGCAUCUGGUCUCCCUUCCGGGGGACAAGACAUCCCUGUUUAAUAUUUAAACAGCAGUGUUCCCA
rfam:Murine G-CSF gene for granulocyte colony stimulating factor precursor